GCUGGCCGCGCUGGGGACCCCGCUGGAGAAAUUUGCGCCCAGAGGGUGCGGGGCCGCCCUGGCCGUCCCGCCCGUGGGCCCGGCGCCCUUCUCGGAGCCCAGCCAUUCCGCUAGACCCGAACUAGGACUGGUAGGAGGGGUGAUCGGCCCAACCUCAGGCCCCAGCCGCGGGCCGGGAAGGCUUCCCCACGGACGAGGGGCAAGCCCCUCGACGUCAGGGUGUCGUCUAUGUAGAGGGGAAUCUGCCUCCUCUCAAAGGGGAAUUCUUUCAGCGAGUCAAGCCCGUCUGAUUCGGGGCUGACUCAGGGCAGAGGCCCAGAGAGGACCUGGAUAGGUUGCGAGAAGUCGAGAUCAGAGGGGGCGGAAGGCAGUGAGAAAAGGGAGACGAGCAUCGGGGGGUGAGAGACAAACUCAGGUCUGGCUCUUGGCCCUUGACGCCACUGAAUUCGCUUCCCACGGUGGGAAGAGGAGAAAAGGGCCCUGACACCGCGGCUCGCCAGGGGCCCGCUGCGUAGCUGCAUCCCGAUCCCGCUGAGGGGACAGCAAAUAGUGAAGUGCUGAUAGCUUGUGGUUGUCGUUACACUGGAAGGAAAUAGAAAACCGGACAGUGGUGUGUGUGUGUGCGUCUUGGCCAAAGGAACUUCUUGGGCUGGGUUAAGCGUGAGCCAACGUGCCCAGCCUAAACCUUUUAGACUUCAUUAGGAUUCUGGUUGGUAAAGAACAUUAAAAAUGACAAGCUCAUUAUAUAGGUGCUAAUUUUAAUUACUUUGACUACUGAACACACGCCAGGUACUAACAAAGAAGGGAGUAUUCACCCUGGGGAUUUAAAUCUGUGAAAAGGUAUUAAAACAUAUAUAAAACAUAAUAAAAUGAAAUCCCAAAGGUCUCUUUCCAUCUGAGCUUACUUUCCCUAAUUUGGGUUUGUCUCUUAGGUCCACCGGGCAUACUUAGUAUCUUUGGACAAAUAGGAAUUCAAUGAAAACGUAUUCUUAAAGGCGAAAAAGGUGGAUUUGCUAGGUAAGUUGCUGUUUCUCAAGGAGGUAGCCUGGGUGCUAUAAAUCCAAUCCAAUCUAAUCUAAUCUAAUACCAUACAAUAUAAUACAAUCGAUACAAUAAAAUCAAUAUCCCAAGGAAAACGCUUAGAAAAUUAUUUCAUGGCAAAAUAAUUUUUCAAAGUUUUCACUGUGCAUCUUCCUGGUUUUAGAGUAGGCACUUAUUUUUAUUUUCACUAUUGCUCUAUUUUUAGCCAUAACCACCAGUACUGCAGCAAAUACUUCUUGAGAAUUAUCCUAUGUACUUUAAAAUGAAAAGUAUCUGCUUUUAGAGAGCAAACCUCUAAUUGACGAAAUAUAUAAUUGCUACAUUAAAAGACAGUUGUCUGU
rnacentral:lncRNA from 1 species